ensembl:lncRNA
ACCCCUGGAGUCUCGCCUGGCUUGCUCUGUGCGCUCCAGGGCAAACAGUGAAGGCAGACAACCUCGCCUGUGCCUCGUGGGGAUGUGGGAACAGGCACUGGCCUCCUGAUGUCCACUGGCAUCAAGGGACCUGCAGUGUGAAGUCUAUGCCAGGUUCAAAAUAUAAUUCUAACCAAGUUUUCUAAAAUAAAACAUUUCCCUCAUAGAAAUACCUAUGCCCACCCCAGUCCUACCAUCCUCAUGACUAUAAAAAUUAAGUUAUUGUCAAAACAGACAGGAGCAGUCAACCUGGACACAAACCGUUCGUCCUGGAUUCGGGGGCUAUGUAAUCUUCCCCUCUCCUUCUCCAGACAUCUUGUGACCUAGAACCUUCUUCAUGGGCUCUGGAAAUGUUGAGUGUGGACCCAAGAACACCUAGGGUUCAGGGAUACCAUCUAGAUCCAUAAAUUUUCCCCUAAUGGACAGCCCCAGUGUGGGAAAAGAAAACCCACGCAGAUUCCACACAGAAGACAGGGAAUGUCGAAGACCAACGCUGUGGGUGAGACUGAGUGCCGAUGCAAGCCCUCUGCCUGCAGUGGCAAAUCGUGACCAGCAAGCCCUCAGUCAUGAUGAACAGCUAUGAACCGGGGUUGAUGGCCAGAGCAUCAUUACCCUUCUACACAUACUCCACGAGGACAACCCUGUGCAACACCGCAGAACAAGGCUGGCGUGCGAGAGGCUAUUUUUAAUCGAUACAGUGUGAGAAAGAAAAGAGAUGGACACGGCACCCGAAAGUGCCGCCCGCCCAAGAAACAGUGGCUGCCUGGCUGGCUUUCUGUGUUACAGCCACCCUCCCAUUCUGCCCGGCUGAAUUUGAAUAUUAAAACCAAAAACACAAGACAGCCCUUCACUCUCUUCCUUUCACUGAAUCAGGCUUUAGCUUGAAAAUCACACAAGAUCUCAGAAAUUCUCUCUUUAAAUAAUUAAUUUAGGUGCAGAGAGAAGCAUUCCAGUGACCUUAACCUUGGACUCUGUUCAGUGAAUUCCUCCACAAUUUAAACAGUAAGGGGAAAACGCUCUGUCCAGUGAGAAAUAACACGCGAUAAAUAACAGAACGCUUGAAUCAGUGACUGAUAGCAGAAAAAGGAGAAAAGUCAGCAUGAGGGUGGAGUCGGUUCAAGACCAGACCGGUGUGAUGCUAAGCCACUGACACCAGCCGUGUGAAGGCCCCAGGACUC